GAUGAACGCUGGCGGCGUGCCUAAUACAUGCAAGUCGAGCGAACGGACGAGAAGCUUGCUUCUCUGAUGUUAGCGGCGGACGGGUGAGUAACACGUGGAUAACCUACCUAUAAGACUGGGAUAACUUCGGGAAACCGUAGCUAAUACCGGAUAAUAUUUUGAACCGCAUGGUUCAAAAGUGAAAGACGGUCUUGCUGUCACUUAUAGAUGGAUCCGCGCUGCAUUAGCUAGUUGGUAAGGUAACGGCUUACCAAGGCAACGAUGCAUAGCCGACCUGAGAGGGUGAUCAGCCACACUGGAACUGAGACACGGUCCAGACUCCUACGGGAGGCAGCAGUAGGGAAUCUUCCGCAAUGGGCGAAAGCCUGACGGAGCAACGCCGCGUGAGUGAUGAAGGUCUUCGGAUCGUAAAACUCUGUUAUUAGGGAAGAACAUAUGUGUAAGUAACUGUGCGCAUCUUGACGGUACCUAAUCAGAAAGCCACGGCUAACUACGUG
rnacentral:rRNA from 1 species